rnacentral:rRNA from 1 species
UACGAAGGGGGCUAGCGUUGCUCGGAAUUACUGGGCGUAAAGGCGCACGUAGGCGGCUCUUUAAGUCGGGGGUGAAAUCCUGGAGCUCAACUCCAGAACUGCCUUCGAUACUGGAGCUUGAGUCCGGGAGAGGUGAGUGGAACUGCGAGUGUAGAGGUGAAAUUCGUAGAAUAUUCGCAAGAACACCAGUGGCGAAGGCGGCUCACUGGCCCGGUACUGACGCUGAGGUGCGAAAGCGUGGGGAGCAAACAGGGAGUUAAG